GAAGGUGGCCAGUGCCCCUGGGCGGUAUUCAGGGUCCGUGGUGGUGACAUUGCCAUGUGCCAGGAACGGGGCAAAGCAGCGAUCUUCCUCAAAGGCUAGAGAGGAGUCAGUCACAGGAAUUAAGCAUUAGGACAGGCCUCCAGGGAUCUCAGACUGGGGAACCAGGCUGAAUUCCAGUGUGGUUUGGCCCCCCAGUGGGCUAUUUAAAAUGGAAAGCCUUUGGGCUUAGCUUUCACUUUCCAGUUUCCCCCAAACCCUAACAUUCCUCAUUCACAUAUUUAUGUUAGCUCCCCGGCCUCUGGACAGAAACCCCAAGGUCAGUCAAGUCCCAGCCACUAUUCUACAGAUGAGGACACUAGGUCCACAGACAAAAAGCCAUGUGCUCCAUGUCACACAGUAGGGCAGUGGCAGAACCAGGCCUCAAGGCCAGAUUCCUUGAUUCCCAGCCAGAGACACUUGGCUCUGGAAGCUGCAAUGGAGUGGGGGAAAACGGUGCCUUUGGAGACCUGGCUCAUGUAGGUGUGUUCGCUCCUCAAAAAUAACCGUUGGUUUCUGAUCAACCCUGAUUAUCCAUACUGUGGCUAGAAUCCAAAAGUGAGGCAAACACAAAAGCUACUCAGUUUUAACUUUGGUCUAAGUCAGCAAAAAAAUUAACAUUUGUAGAGUGUUUUAGUUUUUGCCCAUCUGAUCAUAUCUUAGACUCAGGUAAGGCUCAGGUGCCUGUGAUACAGAAAAAGUCUGAAGCCCAUGGAGCAGCAGUGGCCCACAACCAUGGAGACAGGCCUCAAACCUAGAAAUUCUCUUUGCACUCUCAGAAUCUAAAAUGCAAUUUAUUUUUCAGAUCCACUGUUCUGUUUCACCAUUACUUAACCUGAUAAGGUGUCAUGUCCAAAUCUUAUGCAUCCAUCAGGGCCAAGUGCCAAUUCCCUUUCUCCUUUGAUUCAUACCAGAAACUAGCCCCUCCCAUCUCUGAGCAUUUUACUUUCUUUGUCUCUUUCCUGCUACUGUUUACACAAAUCCUCUGCUCCAGCCACAGUGAAACUCUCUGUUUCCCAAACAUACAGGCUUUUCUCUACCUCUUCACUGUUGCUCACACUGUUCCUUUCCCCUGAGAUGCUCAUUCCCAAUCUUCCUCUUUUAAAAUUCUCUCUAUCCUGUAAGUCCCAGUUCAAAUGCCUCCUCCCAUGAUCACUGACUUCCUUCCUUCCUACCUAUCCAGCAUCCAGUCCCCUUUGUGUGUUAACAGCACUCCUAUUUUCAUUUUGGGUCACACGUCCUCCCCACUUCCAGUCCAUGAGAUUCAGUUGGAGCCAACCAGGGAUGGCCAUGUGAUGUGGAUCUGCCAAUCAUAACACCACCUGCCCCUAGCUACAGUGAUUGGCUCAGGCAUAGAUAGAUGACCUAAGCCAGGGCAAUGAAAGCCUUUCCUGGCAUUUUUGUUAAAGCUCUUAGGAAAGUGGUAUGCUUUCUCUCUGAUGGGGUUGCUAAAGUUGUUGGUAUGUAAAUCUGUAACUGCUAGGUACACAACAGACUGAGAGUCUGCCUGAGAAUGAAGCCAACCGAGAGGAAAGAAUGGAGAGAUUUAAGUAACUGGUCUCUUGGCUGCGUACCUGGAUCCAGCCACACUUGAAGCUUAAGUAGAAAAGACCACCUCAGGGAAUUAGAAUGUGUCCUUGUCGAUUUGGGAUGGGGAGACAAGUCAGUUUUCAGGAAUCCAAACGUGGAGAUAAGCAGAGAUGGAUUAUGUGCUUGUGACCAUGCCUGGGCGUAGGAAGAGGGGAAGGUGCGGCAGGUGGGGCCUCAGGGGAAGGGCAGUUACCUUCAAAUCGGAGGCUUAGCAGCAGGGGAUUGGCAGGUGUCUCUGAAAGCAGCUCCACAUAGAGGGACUGGGCAUCACUGAUGAGACCCCGCUCUGGGACAUCAUCCAUGUCCGAGUCAUAGAUCACCGGGGAUAGGGGACUGCCCCCUGAGCGCACCAUCAGCCUGGGAUGGACAGAGGUGGCCAGGAGCUCAGCUUCCCCUCAGAAGCUGCCUCACCUCUUGCCUGCUCUCCUAACUUAAUUUCAUAGCUAUUAUUUUCAAACAUUAACUAUAUGCCAUGUACUCUUCUAAGCUUUUACACAUUUUAUCUCACUUAAUUCUCACAAGAACCCUUGAGUUAGAUACUAUUAUUGUCCCUCAUUUUAUAGAUGAGAAAAUUGAGGCACAGAAAGAGUAAGUAACCUGUCCAGCUACACAUAGCAACUAAUGUCAGAGCUGGGACACUAGUUUGCUAGAUAAAGAGUGAGAAUAAUGAAGAUGACGUUGGCAAACACAUCUAUAGUGCUUACUGUGUGCUAGGCACCAUUCCAAGCACUUUACAUAUCUUAAUGCAUUUGUCCUCACAGAAACCUUAAGAGGGAGGUACUAUUAUCUCCAUUCUACAGAUGAGAAAACUGAAGCACAGAGAGGUUAAGUGAUUUGUCUCAGUUUGCACAGCUAUACUGCCUAAGAAAGGGGAAGGACUAACCCGCAUUUGACAUAGAUCCCAACUGGGAUUCCCCCCGCGUCUGUCUGACUGUCUAUUGCAGCCUCCCUAUUUCUUUGAAGUGAGGACCUCUGACGCAAGGCCCAGACCCUCACCGGUCGUUGUCCUCAUCCAGGGAGACUCUCUCAAAGUGUAGGUGCAGCCGGCGUCCCUCAGCUGCUUCGAUGACCCAACGGCAGAGCUAUUGCACCCACACCUUUGCCUGGGACCUGGCCUUGGGAUGACCUCUGCCCUACAGGCUCACCCCAGGACUUUUUUCAGGCCACUACCAGCCUAGCUGAUCAGUUGAUGCCGCCAAGAGGCAACGUGGAACAGUGCAAAGAGCACUGGAUUUGGAGAUGGGCAGACCUAAGUUCCAGUUCUACUUUCACAACUUAUUAGCUGUAUGGCCUUGAGCAGGUGACUUCACCUUUCAUCUGUAAAUGGCAAUAACAAUUCCUAUCAUUGAGGAUUGGCCUUAAAGAAAAGAAACCUGGAAUCAAGCACCUGGAACAUAGAAAGUACUCAGAAAAUGUUAAUCGCCCACCCCUCAGCUUCAAUUAAUAAAUGACCAGGGGUCAGGGACUUGGAGAUCUGACUUCUGACUCUGCAAUGAA